CGGCAAUGCAGGUGAAAGAACUUUCUUCUGCUAAUUACACGGGGUGGAGCAGGCGGGAGGAACUGUGUUGCAGGUGUUGUUCAUGUAAAGCAAGUUGCAUGAUUACAGCCAGCGAUACCUGCUCUUGCAGGUGGCAGGUAGAAGCUGGAAGAAGCUCUUUCAAAUGCAUUUUUGCAAAGGGGCCUGAAAGUUUAUUUGCCUCACCCCAAGUCCCGGAGAAGCUCCAUAACAAGGGUGAGGUGGGCUCUCUUGUACCAUAAGGAAGCUCCAAGCCAGCAUCGCAGUGUGGGGAGGAUGAAGCUUCACCUGCAUUUUCUUUUUCUUUUGCAGUAGUUUGGGAAAGGGUCCAUUGCAUGUGGCGACUUUCAGGAAAAAAAGAAUGUGAGGAAAGGUGACAGUGUUUGCACGUGGAUCGCUCACAGCCUAGCCCAGGCGUGGACAACAAACUCAUGCUGGGUCCCCAUCACACUCCCAGCUUUUUCUGUCUGUGGUUCUUGUAUUGCUUCCUUCCCCUAUAAGUACUUUUGUGUCAUGGAAGUGGUUACAUUUGGGGCGAGAGGAGGGGUUUUGUUUCAAAGGUAUUUUGGUAUUGCAAAUGCAGAUGGUUGCAUGUUACAUGUUCAAAAAUGAACAGGCACCAAAUAACUGUUAUUUCAGAGUAAGUUAGGUUCUUUCAAAAAUCAAAAUAGGCCCCAGAAGGGAAUAUUUCCCUGAGACCCAGCCUGGUGCUUCCCAUUGUUCAGGUAUUUGUCGAGACAUAAAGCCAAUCAGGAGAGAAAAAUAGCACCAGGACCGAGAGCCAGUUUCCGCUGUCUGAAUCUGGCUGAUUCAGAUCCUGCAUGUAAAUCUGCUCCCAGGUGACUUUUCCAGGUUCAGUCACACUUUGAUCUUUAACUGUCAUCUUCUUUGUGAUGUAGCUAUUUCAAUUUCAUUAAUUAGACCAGUAGUAAUUUCUCCUCCUGCAGUAAAGUAAAUGAGCAAAAAUAAACCAUCCAACCUUCUGCUGGAUUCA
rnacentral:lncRNA from 1 species